rnacentral:rRNA from 1 species
GAUCAUUACCGAGUGCGGGUCCUUUGGGCCCAACCUCCCAUCCGUGUCUAUUGUACCCUGUUGCUUCGGCGGGCCCGCCGCUUGUCGGCCGCCGGGGGGGCGCCUCUGCCCCCCGGGCCCGUGCCCGCCGGAGACCCCAACACGAACACUGUCUGAAAGCGUGCAGUCUGAGUUGAUUGAAUGCAAUCAGUUAAAACUUUCAACAAUGGAUCUCUUGGUUCCGGCAUCGAUGAAGAACGCAGCGAAAUGCGAUAACUAAUGUGAAUUGCAGAAUUCAGUGAAUCAUCGAGUCUUUGAACGCACAUUGCGCCCCCUGGUAUUCCGGGGGGCAUGCCUGUCCGAGCGUCAUUGCUGCCCUCAAGCCCGGCUUGUGUGUUGGGUCGCCGUCCCCCUCUCCGGGGGGACGGGCCCGAAAGGCAGCGGCGGCACCGCGUCCGAUCCUCGAGCGUAUGGGGCUUUGUCACAUGCUCUGUAGGAUUGGCCGGCGCCUGCCGACGUUUUCCAACCAUUCUUUCCAGGUUGACCUCGGAUCAGGUAGGGAUACCCGCUGAACUUAAGCAUAUCAAUAAGCGGAGGAAAAGAAACCAACCGGGAUUGCCUCAGUAACGGCGAGUGAAGCGGCAAGAGCUCAAAUUUGAAAGCUGGCUCCUUCGGAGUCCGCAUUGUAAUUUGCAGAGGAUGCUUUGGGUGCGGCCCCCGUCUAAGUGCCCUGGAACGGGCCGUCAGAGAGGGUGAGAAUCCCGUCUUGGGCGGGGUGUCCGUGCCCGUGUAAAGCUCCUUCGACGAGUCGAGUUGUUUGGGAAUGCAGCUCUAAAUGGGUGGUAAAUUUCAUCUAAAGCUAAAUACUGGCCGGAGACCGAUAGCGCACAAGUAGAGUGAUCGAAAGAUGAAAAGCACUUUGAAAAGAGAGUUAAACAGCACGUGAAAUUGUUGAAAGGGAAGCGCUUGCGACCAGACUCGCCCGCGGGGUUCAGCCGGCAUUCGUGCCGGUGUACUUCCCCGUGGGCGGGCCAGCGUCGGUUUGGGCGGCCGGUCAAAGGCCCCUGGAAUGUAGUGCCCUCCGGGGCACCUUAUAGCCAGGGGUGCAAUGCGGCCAGCC